rnacentral:rRNA from 1 species
CCUGACCUGAGACUUAGAGUCUCCUGAAGGAACGUUGAAGACGACGACGUUGAUAGGCCGGGUGUGUAAGCGCAGCGAUGCGUUGAGCUAACCGGUACUAAUGAACCGUGAGGCUUAACCUU